rnacentral:tRNA from 1 species
AAAUAGCUUAUAUUUAGAGUAUGACACUGAAGAUGUUAGGGAGAUAAAUUUAUCUUUGAAUAUAGU